CUACAAUCUGUCCCUGGCACCCGCACGUAAAUAUCCACUGUACAAUUAGUAAAACUAGGAGUGUAUCAGCAUUCUCUAUACUUUCUAAGUAAGUUACUAAUUGUGGUACAAAUGAAUAACUUUAAAAAAAGUCAAAUGAAUGAGGGACUGGUUUUCCCUUCAGGCUCAUAGCAGGAUGAUUAGAUGUUAGAGGGAGAGUGUGUAUGCCAAAUACAUUAAGGUUGUGGGAACUUUGUUCUCUUCCCUGCCAAAGAUUAAAUAAUGCAUGAACCCCCGAGAUUAGUCUCGGUGUGUGGCAAUUCCGUCUAAAUACUAUAUCACUAAAUGGGGUGCCUUCAAAGCAGCACUGUCACACGCACAAUCCACAAAAUUAGUAUUUCAUAAAGAUAGAAUCUUUCUAAUAUAGUCAUUUUGACUGUGAUGGAAUUUUGAAAUUCCAACCCAGUCAAGAGAUAUACAGAGAUAAAGCAGGGACUACUGUAUUUCUCUUCAGCCUGACUUUCUUAAACUCCGGAUGGAGCUGGAGUGUCAACCUCGACAGGUGUCACCAGUGGCUUCAUCAAUGGUGGCGGCUGCAGGGAAUUGGCUAUGUCUAUGGUGGAUCACACUUUCUCGCAGAACCCUCCUUAGACCUCAGUGCUGUACUCUUGAGGAUGCAAAAGAGAACAGCAGUGUUGUCGGCUAGCUGAUGAGUAGCAGACAGA